rnacentral:rRNA from 1 species
AUUCCCCUAGUAACUGCGAGUGAAGCGGGAAAAGCUCAAAUUUAAAAUCUGGUGGUCUUUUGGCCGUCCGAGUUGUAAUUUAGAGAAGCGUCUUCCGCGCUGGACCGUACACAAGUCUCCUGGAACGGAGCGUCAUAGAGGGUGAGAAUCCCGUCUUUGGUACGGACCCCCGGUGCUUCUGUGAUGCGCUCUCGAAGAGUCGAGUUGUUUGGGAAUGCAGCUCAAAAUGGGUGGUGAACUCCAUCUAAAGCUAAAUAUUGGCGAGAGACCGAUAGCGAACAAGUACCGUGAGGGAAAGAUGAAAAGCACUUUGGAAAGAGAGUGAAACAGUACGUGAAAUUGUUGAAAGGGAAACGCUUGAAGUCAGUCGCGUCUCUCGAGACUCAGCCUCGCUCCGGCUUGGUGUAUUUCUCGGUCGACGGGUCAGCAUCAAUUUUGUCCCUCGGAUAAUGGCAACGGAAAGGUGGCACCUUUGCGGGUGUGUUAUAGUCUUUUGUCGCAUGCGAGGGGCGAGAUUGAGGAACUCAGCACGCGCACCCUUCUGGGGUGUGUCGGGGCCUCGGCCCACGCCACGUGCUUAGGAUGCUGGCGUAAUGGCUUUAAACGACCCGUCUUGAAACACGGACCAAGGAGUCCAACACGCCCGCGAGUGUUCGGGUGGAAAACCCGUGCGCGUAAUGAAAGUGAAAGUUGGGACCUUCGUCGUGAAGGGCACCGACGCCCGGACCAGACCUUCUGUGACGGAUCUGCGGUGGAGCGUGUGUGUUGGGACCCGAAAGAUGGUGAACUAUGCCUGAAUAGGGUGAAGCCAGAGGAAACUCUGGUGGAGGCUCGUAGCGAUUCUGACGUGCAAAUCGAUCGUCAAAUUUGGGUAUAGGGGCGAAAGAC